rnacentral:rRNA from 1 species
UACGUAGGGUGCGAGCGUUAAUCGGAAUUACUGGGCGUAAAGUGUGCGCAGGCGGUUUCGCAAGUCAAGCGUGAAAGCCCCGGGCUUAACCUGGGAACUGCGCUUGAAACUACGGAACUCGAGUAUGGCAGAGGAAGGUGGAAUUCCACGUGUAGCGGUGAAAUGCGUAGAGAUGUGGAGGAACACCGAUGGCGAAGGCAGCCUUCUGGGCCAAUACUGACGCUCAUGCACGAAAGCGUGGGGAGCAAACAGG